rnacentral:lncRNA from 1 species
GGGGCUGUGUGAGACCAAAUUUUCCAAAGAUGGCCAAACCAAUCUAUAUCACAACCCACAUGCUCUUCUGAUAACACGACAGCGUCCUUCUUCCUGAACUGGGGUGGAUUUUGUAACUGCCUCAAUCAACAGAAUGCACAGGAGUGAUGUUUUGUGACUGUCAGUGCCAGAUCAUAAAAGAUGUGACUUCCUCCUGGUUCUGUCUCCCUUCUCCUUUGGACUCAGCCACUAUGUUGUGAGGAAGCCUAGGCCACAUGGAGAGGCCACAUAGAUGUGUUCCAGGCAGCAGCCCCAGCAAAGGUCUCAAUCAACCACCAUAUGUGUGAGUGAAGGAACCUUCAGAUAAUUUUGCUUCCCAGACUUCAAGUCUUUCAGCUGGGGUCCAAGACAUCACAAGGCAGAGACAAGCCCUCCUGGAAUUCCCCACCCACCGUGAGCAUAAGAAAACUUGAAAGCGGUGUAAAUGGCUCUUAUCUGAACCACAAUGAAUUCACAUAUUCAAGUUGGCUUCUUCGGAAAUUUCAGGCCACAAAUGGCAGUGAUGCGACCAGGAGCAGUAACACGAUUACAAGUCGCAAUUUAGGAAGGGUGCUCCAUCAUCAUUUCAUGAUUCUCACUACAGCCCAGACAGGUGGGCAGAGCAGUGUUCUUUCCCCUUUAAUGAAUGAAGAAGCUGAGCCUCAAACAGAUGAGGGGGCUUCCUGGGUUCACAGAGCUCUAAAGGGCUGAGCUGUAGAUCCACGGCCACCAUGAUGAGCUAAGAGUUUCUGGAUUCAGUGCCUGCUGUUGCUCCUGGAGAUUUGUAUCCUGAUUGAAGGCUGGUUCCAUAUCUGUUCACCCAGUGCCACUUCCAUCCGGACAGAAGGAACCCAGGUCAAGGCUGACAGGAGGAGCAGGAGCCGUCAAUGAGAGCAGACCUCAGAAGCCAACGGAGGUGAGAAGAGCACCAUCCACAGCCCCAUCCUCUGAAUGCUGUGGGAAGAAGUCCACAAAAUACCACCCCUUGGAGUCAGUCAGUAGUAGAGCCCUUGCUGCUGGCUGCAAAUACCCCAUCAGAACAUGUUUGGGGUGAUUCUUGGACCUGGUUUCAAUUUCUUUUCUGCCAGUCAGCAGUUGUGCUUGACUCACAAUUUGUUGCCAUCUCUUGAAUUAAACUCAGGAAACAGGAUAAAGAUCAGAACCACAUUGUAAAAGCUUCCUUAUGGUUCAUUUUUUGCUGAGAUAAAUAAUGAGCAGCUCUGAUCCAUGUCUCUGGAGAGCUCAGAGCACACUACCAGGAGCUCCUAGCCACAGGGUGAGCACAGGUGGCUGGUGUUCUCUUGAUGAGGAAAGACAGCAGUGUCCAAUCUACCCUGCCUUACACGGAGCCCCAGGUGCUCUCCCGGACUGUGUUGCUACCUAAAGCACAUGGCAAUUGCAUGAUGCUAACCAGAGCAGCCCCUCACUCAUUAGAAACAUCUGCUUUGCAUUAUUUACACAGGCAAAGUUUUCCUUUUUACUGAGCCUACCCAGUUCAAACUUAAGUGGGAUUUGCCAGCUAUCUGGCUAAUUUUAUGAGCAAUAAUAAAGAUUGGU